AACGAACGCUGGCGGCGCGCUUAACACAUGCAAGUCGAACGAGAAGGCGUAGCAAUACGCUUGUACAGUGGCGAACGGGUGAGUAAUACGUGGGCGACCUACCCUCGAGUGGGGAAUAACCCGCCGAAAGGCGGGCUAAUGCCGCGUACGCUUCCAUCUUUAUGGAGGUGGAAGGAAAGCCGUGCCGUGGGCACGGCGCUCAAGGAUGGGCUCACGUCCUAUCAGCUUGUUGGAGGGUAACGGCCUACCAAGGCUCCGACGGGUAGCUGGUCUGAGAGGACGAUCAGCCACACUGGCACUGCGACACGGGCCAGACUCCUACGGGAGCAGCAGUGAGGAAUAUUGCGCAAUGGGCGAAAGCCUGACGCAGCGACGCCGCGUGGGGGAUGAAGGUCUUCGGAUUGUAAACCCC
rnacentral:rRNA from 1 species